GACGAACGCUGGCGGCGUGCUUAACACAUGCAAGUCGAACGGUGAAGCGCCUUCCUUUUUGGUGGGUGUGGAUGAGUGGCGAACGGGUGAGUAACACGUGAGUAACCUGCCCCCUUCUUCUGGAUAACCGCAUGAAAGUGUGGCUAAUACGGGAUAUUCUGGGUCUGUCGCAUGAUGGGUCUGGGAAGGAUAUUGUUUCGGUGGGGGAGGGGCUCGCGGCCUAUCAGCUUGUUGGUGGGGUGAUGGCCUACCAAGGCGGUGACGGGUAGCCGGCCUGAGAGGGUGGACGGUCACACUGGGACUGAGACACGGCCCAGACUCCUACGGGAGGCAGCAGUGGGGAAUAUUGCACAAUGGGCGCAAGCCUUAUGCAGCGACGCCGCGUGAGGGAUGGAGGCCUUCGGGUUGUGAACCUCUUUCGCCAGUGAAGCAGGCCUGCCUCGUUUGUGGGUGGGUUGACGGUAGCUGGAUAAGAAGCGCCGGCUAACUACGUG
rnacentral:rRNA from 1 species